rnacentral:rRNA from 1 species
UAAGAUAUAUAAAUUAUACUUAUUAGCUUGUUUAACAAGUAAUGUAAGUAUGUAAAGAAAUUAUUAUGCAAUUCUAGCUAUGUAUUAAGGAGAGCAAAUUUUAUAUAAAAAGGAAUAUUAUAUAUUCCUAGUUAAUAAGCUCUAGAAUAAAUUUAAUAAUAAACGAAGUGAAGUGAAAUAUCUCAGUAACUUCAGGAAAAGAAAUCAAAAGAGAUUCUAUGAAUAGCGUGAGCGAAAGUAGAUAAGUCUAUUAAGUAAAAUGGUUUAUAAACUGUUUGAAUGGGGAACCUUCCUCAAAGACUAAAUAUGAUACAUAAGCGAUAGAUAAUGGGCCGUGAGGUAAUUAGAAGUUAGUAGUAAUUUUAUAAGCAGUUCUAAUAAAUUUAGUUUAAAGAACGUACCUUUUGCAUAAUGGGUCACCAAGUUAACAUUAGAUGCGAGAAAAUUUCGUAGUUAAACCAAACAUUAAAAUAACGAUUAGUGUCUAAAGUUAGACCCGAAGCCUAGUGAUUUUACUAUGAUCAGGAUUAUAAAAGUCCGAACGGGUGAUUGUGGCAAAAAUCUCCGAAGAAUCGUGGUAGGUAUAGUGAAAGACAAUACUGACUAGGAUAGCUGGUUUUCUGCGAAACCUAUAACAGUAGGCAAUUUAAGUAAAUAUCUUAGCAGGUACAGAAUUUAAUCUCAGGCAGUGUUAUAUUGCGCAAAUUGGGGAAUCGUGAAGAUUUUAUCAGUGAGUAUGUAGACUCGGAAUGGCAAAGAUAUAUCUUGAAUGAUCAGACAUAGAAUGAUAAGGUUGUAUGUCAAAAGGGAAACAGCCCAGAACAAGAGUUAAGGUUCCUAAAUUAUUUGUUAAGUGAAAGUAAGAAAGUUUUUAUUAAAGUCGACAAGGAGAUAGGCUUAGAAGCAGCCAUAAUUUUAUGACCUCGUAACAGAGCGCUUGUUAAGUUAUAAAAGCAUCGAAAAUAUAACGGAUCUAAACAAUAUACCGAAACCUUGUCCAUAAAUUAAUGCAGGGAUUCUUGCAUAUUUAUGGGGUAGCAGAACGUUGAAUUAGGCUAAAUAACAAGUUUAUAAAUUUGUUAUGUUAAUUCAAGUGAGAAUGGUGACAUGAGUAACGAAAAGAAUAGUAGAUUUUGGCAAUUAUAUAAAUACAUUAAAUAAUAGAUCUUAUUUAGUGCUUACAAGAUCUACUAUCCGCCUAAAGCUUAUGGUUAGAAUUAAGUAACGGCCUCUAAGCUUUUUAUCUAAAGAUGGAAGCGAUGAGAAAAUCUUUUAUUAUGAGACGACAUUUAUCUAGUGAAAAAUGUACAGGAAAUAUCAUGAUAUAGUAACCGUACCUAGAAACCGACUACGGUAAGCUAGUAGAGUAUACGAAGGCGUAAUUGAGAUAACAAUCAUAAAGGAACUCGGCAAAUUGACUAUCGUAACUUCGGGAUAAGUAGGGCUCAUUAUUCUUGAUUAAUAUCAGGUAAAGAGGAAGAAACAUAAAAGAAUGUUGUACGACUGUUUAAUUAAAACACAGCACUUUGCUUAAAGAUUAAAAAUCUAUGUAUAAAGUGUGAUAUCUGCCCGGUGCCGGCAGGCUAACAGAGAUGAUUGAAUAUAUUACUGUUUGAUAUUGACGGAAGCCCCGGUUAAAGGCGGCCUUAACGUGAGGGUCCUAAGGUAGCGAAAUGCCUUGGCCGUUAAAUGCGGUCUUGCAUGAAUGGUGUAACGAUACAACAGCUGUCUCUAUGAUUGACUCAGUGAAAUUGGAAUAGCUGUGCAGAUACAGCUUACCACUAGUUAGACGAGAAGACCCUUUGCAGCUUUACUGUUACUAAUGAUAGAUUUUGAUGAAAAAUUUUCAGACUAGAAGGAAAUUGAUUAAAUAUAUAUGAGAAACCUUUAUUUUGAUUCUUCAUUUGAAUGAAUUGAUAUACCUACAAGCGUUAGUAUAUCAUCCUAGUUCAGUCUAUAUUCUUAGUUUACUAAGAAAUAGGUAACCUUGGAAAGGAACUAUUACUAGGAGACAGUUUAUGUGGGGCACAGACCCUGUAAAGAGUAAACAGGUGUGUCUAAUAAUUAUUUUUAUUUUGUUUGCUAUUUUUAUAUAAAUCAUAUUCACUUUGAUAUAAUUCUAGUGUAGUACUUGGUGGGCUCCGCCCUAUAAGUUAUACUAUUAUAUUUAUAUCGAAAAUUUAGGUAAGAUUUUGACUAUACUGAAAUUAGAGAUAAUUUGAAAUUUUAUGUAAGUGGGCUCUUUUGAAAAAAAUACUGCAAACUUAAUACUAAAGUUUUAUAGUUAUUCGUAUUUAUAUACGAACUAAUUAUGUUUUGAAUAUCUAAAAAGCUCAACGGCUUAAUCUUGCCUUACUGUUUGAUUAUCGACAAAUCUUACAGUUGCGUAAGCAGAGCAUAGGAUCACAAGAUGCAAUAAGGAAAGAUCUUGGAUUAUUGGAAAAGCUACGCUAGGGAUAACAGGCUAAUUUGCGCAAGAGUGUACAAAAUGAGUGCGCGGUUUGGCACCUCGAUGUCGGCUUAACUUAUCCUCAUGGAUGCAGAAACUGUGUAGGGUGCGACUGUUCGUCGAUUAAAAAGUUACAUGAGCUGGGUUAAAUACGUCGUGAGACAGUAUGGUUUCUAUCUUCUAGUGGAAAUUAGAAUAAAAUAAGAACGAACUUUUGUACGAAAGGAACAAGAAUGAUUUUGUAACUUGUUAUAAUUUUAUUAGCAAGUGACAAGUUAUAGUUACUAACCUAUGGUUUACCUGUUGUUUAUAUGCCCUGUUAUUAAAUAUAUAAAUUGCAUGAAUAUAUUACUAUUAAUAUAUUUAUUAAUUAGUAUUAGCCGCUUUGCAUAAAUAUUUAUAUUUAGAUCAAUACUAUGCUAAUUUAGUAAUACACUACUAUUUAUAUAUAUGUAUAUAUUAAUAAUAUAUACAGAGGAUGUAUCGUUCACUAGGAUAAUAUAUUAUAUAGGCACGGCAGGAAAGCUAAGUUGGUUAAAGAUAAGUGCUGAAAGCAUAUAGGCACGAAGCUUAUCUUAAUAUAUCUCUUAAAUAUAUGUAUUAGAAUAAUACACAAUAGGCUUUCUUUGUAAGAAUCUCGAGAUUUGUAAGAUGAAAGUACUAAUUUUAUAAAAUACUAUGUAUAUAUAUAUCAUUUUUAUUAA